CAGUAAUUCCAUUCAAAAAGUGAAACUUGUAUAAUGUAUAAUUCAUUCCACACAGACAGAUAUAUUUAAAGUGUUUAUUUCCUUUAAUUUUGACGAUUAUAACUGACAACUAAUGAAAACCCCAAAUUCAGUAUCUCAGAAAAUUAGAAUAUUAUUUAAUACCAAUACA